rnacentral:misc_RNA from 1 species
AAGUCGUAACAAGGUUUCCGUAGGUGAACCUGCGGAAGGAUCAUUAACACGUAUCCAACGUUAAACCCCCCCGUGAACCUUCAUUGUGCUCCCCCAUUCCGUUAGGACGCGGCAAUCCCUGGUAAAUCAUCGCCGAACAGUUUUGAUUCAGGCAUGGUGGGCAGCAGCGCGAGGCAAGUGACCUGGCAUUCCUCUGCGCAGUAACGAUCGCUAGAGGCCGACACGGCCGGCGACCGGGUCGCUGGGCUCACGCCCCCCUAUCACCUUUGCAUGAAAACGGGCCUGCGCUUAAUUGUGGCCACCAAACUCGAACAACUGUUAACAAUGGAUAUCUUGGUUCUC